rnacentral:sRNA from 1 species
UUGGAUAUCUCAAGAAGAGACUACUACAACGAUCAGAAAAUGAAGAUUAAGUUGAACAAAAUCAUUUGAUACCUUCUUUUGUUCGGCAGAUUCCUAUUUUGAUCAAAUUAUUGCAAUACCCAGAAUUAUGUUUCAGCUAGGUUGCUUCCUUGCUUGUUCUUGAGCUGGGAACUGGUAUCACAAAGUCCUACUCCAUUCGUAUAAUAAUCUAAGAUUUUUCUAGCAUUGCUAAUAUUCGUAUAGAUGUUAAUGAAUUAGACACAUUAUGAAACGGAGGGAGUAGCAUUGAUUUCUUACCUCACCUACCUGCCUCUCACUUCCUUCAGAUUGUCUGGCUUUUCACUCGCGAUUUGUAUAGGAUCAGUUUGGGAUGUACACAUUAAAAUCGAGUAGCCUUGAACGCUUGUACUAACUUAAUGCAAAUUGGUACAGACUAGAGAGAUAAAACAAUUCUCUCUUAGGUUCAUGUAUAUGCUCUAUCUCCUUCCGGCGGGCCGCUAUACCAGAGUAGUCUACCUUUGCUUGUUUGUGCACCACUGGAACUCCUUGAAGCAUAUUUGUUUUCUUAGGAAUGAAAGGAACCAGGAAGAAUGCCAAGACAAGAUCUCUCAGCAGUGUUCUGAUUGUAGUCUUUGAUCUGGUGGUACACACAACUCUGCAUUCGUCUAGGCCAUGUGAGAUUCACAAACUUGUGAGUUUUGCGGGUACUAGCCACUAAAGCUGAAUUGCUGAUGAUACCAAAACACAUAUAUAGCACAGACACACAGGUCUUGGGUGUACGUACUUCACUAUAUGGAGCAGAUUAUACCAUUAAUUUCUCAUAUCAUAUCAUCAGUUAGGGAGCAAGUUGAAGAUAAUGUAUCGCACAUUAUAUAGCAGCGGACCAAAUUAAUACAGCCCCACCAAAGAGUUGAUCCGAAUUCGACAACAGGAACCAUUUGAGAUCUAGAGCAUACACGCUACUUGCUCGUGAUUGUGUCUCGAUGAAUAGAAAUUGACUGGAGUAUGCAUUGCAAAACUCUUUUUUCUUAAGAUAGGCAGGAGGAUUUUUACUCAAUACUGUUGAACAAAAGCAUAUUAAUAUUGGAAAGGAACAACCAUACUAGAUAUGAUUGAAAACAAAUAAGCUGAUCACUCUUUUGGCCGUAUGAAGAAUCCUGAUUGUUUUUUCAAUGUCGGCCAAAUGUUGAAAGAUGGUAUGACCGUAUGAGAUUAAAAAAAAAAGCCAGUUCAACUAGGGCUUCAAUUAAGAUGGUAUGAGAUAAAAAAAGGCCAAAUGUUUACUUCUUCCUUACAUGCUUCGUCCUAAAAAAGUCAGUUCCUAGCUAUGAACAUGUAUAUGGGCAUGUCCAGGUUUAAAGCUAGAGAUUGUUUUUCUUAGGACGGAGGGAGUAAGUGACUAAUAUAAGAGUUAUGUUACCGUAGGCCAAUAACUGAAGCAAGCAAAGGCUCACAUCUCGCCCGAAAUUUCGGUGUUUUGCAAAUUUUUGUGAAUUUGGUCAAAUUUUAUUCAAAUUCAUUCAAAAUAAGUCAAAAUUUCAAAUAAUUUCAGCCACAAAAUUUCCGAAAUUUUGGUCCUCCCAGGCAAAAAUACAAUUUCAAAAUUGAAAACCCUGCUCACACAUCACAAAUUCUGGCGCAACAUAAUUUAUGUUAACAUGUUUGGGUUUGUUUCCUCAUGCUACCUCCUUUAGCCUAUAUAAGGACUAAUGUCUAAGCAUACACUUCAUGUCUGAUAGGAAUGUGAAGUCACUCUAUUCUCAGUUGUUAUAUUAGUAUAGUGCAUUUCUUUACUUGGAAUAGGUGGUGUCGUGGAAAGAAUAUCAUGAUAUGGAGUCGUAUAUGCUGAGCAUGCUGACCAAAAUAAGGAAGAGAUACCUGUAAGAAUACGGAUGGAACCUGUACUGUGGUCGACUGGUGUUGCCGUUCACAUAGCUCUUAAAAGUCUCCCUAUGCUAUGUGCUAGCAGCCUACCUCCAUCUCCAUCUCAUUGGGCUGCUGCCUCCUCGCGGAUAUGUUGCACCGCCAUUGCAUUACUACUUUGUCUAUCGUACCUACCUCUAACGUAAGUUCAAAGGAGAUAAAUUUACAACUAACUCCAUCACCACAUAUGCCUCUCACUUCCCUCUGAUGACCUAUGUUAUAGCUCUCGCAGCAAAGUUCAUUUGAGAUGUCACACUAGGAAUAGGAUCUAGAGCAUGUUGUCAAUCUCGCCGUCUGUGGCGUUGUCUUUUUAGGCAUUUUCUAUUUUUCACUGUUCCUCAUCGGGUAGUUUGUCGUUCUUUUCUUUGUUUUGCUUGUGGGCCAGCUGGCUAGCAGCUACGUCGUGUGUAAGACUUUAGGUGUGUGAGUUCACGUCAAAAUCGUGGAGUCUGUUGUGGAGUCCGAGUCUCGCACGGCACGAUCUGACGUGUGGGAUGGCGCACGUCGGUGCGGAUCGUGUCGCGUGCAUGAUGGCCACUACGGCCGAUUUACUAGCGUUGUUUCCAAAUAAAAGGGGAUGAAUAUAACCCAGAAAAACUGCUGAAGGUGUUGCAGCGCCAAUGCACUUGUCUUCAAGUUCAGAGGCAUUGUUGAGUUUUUCAGUUUGGGAGUUGAAGAGAGAUUGAGGACGCCGGGAUUCUGUUCGCCGGCUAAGAGAGCAUACACAUUGCUUUGAGAAAAUUCUCUGCGUACGUACCCUUUAAACUUUCUCUACGUAAUUCCUACCAUGUCUCUGAAUUUUGCUCAUUCUCUUGUAUAUCUAUGAAUUUUAGU